GGCGUUGGAAUUUUGAAAAUGUCUGCCGUUAACAUGGAAACAAUGCAAAACAGGUCAAAAUGGUCCAAAAACCUUAAAGUGGCAUUAACUUUCUUAAUAUGGUAGGUCAAAUGGAUCGAAACUUUGAUGGUAUGGUCCCUCCCAUGUACCAAUGUGGUAUAUGCCAUUAACUUUUGGGAAUGGUCUCUGUUGCCAUAGGAACCAUCACAAAUGUCAAAAAUUUCA
rnacentral:lncRNA from 1 species